rnacentral:tRNA from 1 species
GGCGCCGUGGCUUAGUUGGUUAAAGCGCCUGUCUAGUAAACAGGAGAUGGUGAGUUCAAAUCUCAACGUUGCCU